rnacentral:tRNA from 1 species
UCCCUCGUAGCCCAAUCGGUAGAGGCGGCGUCUUCAGGUGGCGUCAAGUGUGAGUUCGAAUCUCACCGAGGGAA